GAUGAACGCUGGCGGCGUGCCUAAUACAUGCAAGUCGAGCGAACAGACGAGGAGCUUGCUCCUCUGAUGUUAGCGGCGGACGGGUGAGUAACACGUGGAUAACCUACCUAUAAGACUGGGAUAACUUCGGGAAACCGGAGCUAAUACCGGAUAACAUGUUGAACCGCAUGGUUCAACAGUGAAAGACGGUCUUGCUGUCACUUAUAGAUGGAUCCGCGCCGCAUUAGCUAGUUGGUAAGGUAACGGCUUACCAAGGCAACGAUGCGUAGCCGACCUGAGAGGGUGAUCGGCCACACUGGAACUGAGACACGGUCCAGACUCCUACGGGAGGCAGCAGUAGGGAAUCUUCCGCAAUGGGCGAAAGCCUGACGGAGCAACGCCGCGUGAGUGAAGAAGGUCUUCGGAUCGUGAAACUCUGUUAUUAGGGAAGAACAAAUGUGUAAGUAACUAUGCACGUCUUGACGGUACCUAAUCAGAAAGCCACGGCUAACUACGUG
rnacentral:rRNA from 1 species